CCUACGGGAGGCAGCAGUGGGGAAUUGUUCGCAAUGGGCGCAAGCCUGACGACGCAACGCCGCGUGGAGGAUGAAGGUCUUCGGAUUGUAAACUCCUGUUGAUCGGGACGAAUGGGUUUCGGGUGAAUAGCCCGGAGCAGUGACGGUACCGAUUGAGGAAGCCACGGCUAACUCUGUGCCAGCAGCCGCGGUAAUACAGAGGUGGCAAGCGUUGUUCGGAAUUACUGGGCGUAAAGGGCGCGUAGGUGGCCUUCUUAGUCAGACGUGAAAUCCCGGGGCUUAACUCGGGAACUGCGUCUGAUACUGGAAGGCUCGAGUUCGGGAGAGGAAUGUGGAAUUCCAGGUGUAGCGGUGAAAUGCGUAGAUAUCUGGAGGAACACCGGUGGCGAAGGCGGCAUUCUGGACCGAAACUGACACUGAGGCGCGAAAGCCAGGGGAGCAAACGGGAUUAAAUACCCUUGUAGUC
rnacentral:misc_RNA from 1 species